UACAGAGGGUGCGAGCGUUAAUCGGAAUUACUGGGCGUAAAGCGUGCGUAGACGGUAGCGUAAGUCAGAUGUGAAAGCCCCGGGCUCAACCUGGGAACUGCAUUUGAGACUGCUCUGCUCGGGUGCGGAAGAGGGAAGCGGAAUUUCCGGUGUAGCGGUGAAAUGCGUAGAUAUCAGGAGGAACAUCCGUGGCGAAGGCGGCUCUCUGGGACGGUACUGACGCUGAGACGCGAAAGCGUGGGGAGCGAACAGG
rnacentral:rRNA from 1 species